rnacentral:tRNA from 1 species
GCCCGAGUAGCUCAGUUCGGCAGAGCAGCUGUCUUGUAAACAGCAGGUCGCAGGUUCGACUCCUGUCUCGGGCUCCA